rnacentral:rRNA from 1 species
UAAAACGUAGGGGACGAGCGUUAUCCGGAUUUACUGGGCGUAAAGAGCCCGUAGGCAGCAAGCUAAGUUGGAUGUGAAAGCUCCUGGCUUAACUGGGAGAGGUCAUUCAAAACUGACGAGCUAGAGUACGGAAGAGGAGAGCGGAAUUCCCGGUGUAGUGGUGGAAUGCGUAGAUAUCGGGAGGAACACCAGUGGCGAAAGCGGCUCUCUGGUCCGAAACUGACGCUGAGGGGCGAAAGCGUGGGGAGCGAACGGGAUUAGAUACCCCGGUAGUCCACGCUGUAAACGAUGGAUACUAGGUGUAGGCGGAUAGAAACCCGACUGUGCCGAAGCUAACGCGUUAAGUAUCCCGCCUGGGGAGUACGGCCGCAAGGUUA